rnacentral:rRNA from 1 species
AUUGAACGCUGGCGGCAGGCCUAACACAUGCAAGUCGAACGAGUGGCGGACGGGUGAGUCAUGUCUGGGAAACUGCCUGAUGGAGGGGGAUAACUACUGGAAACGGUAGCUACUACCGAAUACCAUCGACUGUGCCCAGAUGGGAUUAUCUAGUAGUGGGGGUAAAGGCUCACCUAGGCUACGAUCUCUAGCUGGUCUGAGAGGAUGACCAGCCACACUGGAACUGACACACGGUCCAGAGUCCGAAGAGUGGCAGCAGUGGGGAAUAUGGCACAAUGGGGGCAAGCCUGUUGCAGCCAUGCCGCGUGUAUGAAGAAGGCCUUCGGGUUGUAAAGUAGUUUCAGCGGGUGGGCGUUGCCCGCAGAAGAAGCACCGGCUAACUCCGUGCCAGCAGCCGCGGUAAUUC